AUUGAACGCUGGCGGCAUGCCUUACACAUGCAAGUCGAACGGCAGCACGGGAGCUUGCUCCUGGUGGCGAGUGGCGAACGGGUGAGUAAUACAUCGGGAACGUACCCUGAAGUGGGGGAUAACGUAGCGAAAGUUACGCUAAUACCGCAUAUUCUGUGAGCAGGAAAGAGGGGGAUCGCAAGACCUCUUGCUUUAGGAGCGGCCGAUGUCGGAUUAGCUAGUUGGUGAGGUAAAAGGCCUCACCAAGGCGACGAUCCGUAGCGGGUCUGAGAGGAUGGAUCCGCCACACUGGGACUGAGACACGGCCCAGACUCUACGGAGGCAGCAGU
rnacentral:rRNA from 1 species